rnacentral:rRNA from 1 species
AGAGUUUGAUCAUGGCUCAGAAUCAACGCUGGCGGCGUGCCUCAGACAUGCAAGUCGAACGAUUAAGACUCCCUUCGGGGAGUGCAUAAAGUGGCGCACGGGUGAGUAACACGUAAGUAAUCUACCUUCGAGUGGGGAAUAACAUCGGGAAACCGAUGCUAAUACCGCAUAACGCAGCGGCACCUAAUGGUGACAGUUGUUAAAGGAGCAAUUCGCUUGAAGAGGAGCUUGCGGCAGAUUAGCUAGUUGGUAAGGUAAUGGCUUACCAAGGCUACGAUCUGUAUCCGGUCUAAGAGGACGGUCGGACACGCUGACACUGAAUAACGGGUCAGACUCCUACGGGAGGCAGCAGUCGGGAAUUUUGGGCAAUGGGCGAAAGCCUGACCCAGCAACGCCGCGUGAAGGAUGAAGUUUUUCGGAAUGUAAACUUCGAAAGAAUGGGAAGAAUAAAUGACGGUACCAUUUAUAAGGUCCGGCUAACCACGUGCCAGCAGCCGCGGUAAUACGUAGGGACCAAGCGUUGUUCGGAUUUACUGGGCGUAAAGGGCGCGUAGGCGGCAAUUCAAGUCAGCUGUGAAAUCUCCGGGCUUAACUCGGAACGGUCAGCUGAUACUGCUUUGCUAGAGUGCAGAAGGGGCAAUCGGAAUUCUCGGUGUAGCGGUGAAAUGCGUAGAUAUCGAGAGGAACACCUGAGGUGAAGACGGGUUGCUGGGCUGACACUGACGCUGAGGCGCGAAAGCCAGGGUAGCAAACGGGAUUAGAUACCCCGGUAGUCCUGGCCCUAAACGAUGAAUACUUGGUGUCUGGAGUUAUUAUUGCUCCGGGUGCCGUCGCUAACGUUUUAAGUAUUCCGCCUGGGGAGUACGCACGCAAGUGUGAAACUCAAAGGAUUGACGGGACCCGCACAGCGUGAGCAUGUGGUUUAUUCGACGCACGCGAAGAACCUUACCUGGGCUAGAAUGCGCGGGAAGACGUCUAACAGCGUCCGU